rnacentral:rRNA from 1 species
AUUGAACGCUGGCGGAAUGCUUUACACAUGCAAGUCGAACGGCAGCACUGGAGCUUGCUCCUGGUGGCGAGUGGCGAACGGGUGAGUAAUAUAUCGGAACGUGCCCUGGAGUGGGGGAUAACUAGUCGAAAGACUAGCUAAUACCGCAUACGAUCUAUGGAUGAAAGUGGGGGAUCGCAAGACCUCAUGCUCGUGGAGCG